GCCUCUGUGGUGUAGUGGUAGCACGCGUUCCCGAUAUGGAUGAAGACCGGUCCAACUCCGAGCUGAGGUC